rnacentral:lncRNA from 1 species
CCUGGCGACUAUCAAGAGCAGGAAGAAGGAUAGACCUUCUGAAGGUACGUCUGAUAUGCUUGUUAUUGAAACUAAUCUAACAAUUUCUUCUUCAUCUAAUUGGGUUCUAGAUUCUAGAUCAAGUGCUCAUUUAUGCACUUCUAUGCAGGGUCUUGAAGAAGUGAGAGGGCUGAGGGAAGGUGAGAUCACUCUCUAGGUCGGCAAUAGAGUAAGGAUCACUGUUGUGGCCGUCGGGACCUAUCCUUUGUGAUUAUUAUUAGGAGUUUGUUUACUUCUUAAAAACUAUUAUUAUAUACCUGUAGCUAGUAAAAAUUUGAUUUUCAUAUCUGUGCUG